CCUGGCUCACUCUUAGGGCUGGCGGCGCGCCUAACACAUGCAAGUCGAACGAUUGAUGAGGAGCUUGCUCUUCAAAUCGAGUGGCGAACGGGUGAGUAACGCGUGAGGAACCUGCCUCAAAGAGGGGGACAACAGUUGGAAACGACUGCUAAUACCGCAUAAGCCCACGGCUCGGCAUCGAGCAGAGGGAAAAGGAGCAAUCCGCUUUGAGAUGGCCUCGCGUCCGAUUAGCUAGUUGGUGAGGUAACGGCCCACCAAGGCGACGAUCGGUAGCCGGACUGAGAGGUUGAACGGCCACAUUGGGACUGAGACACGGCCCAGACUCCUACGGGAGGCAGCAGUGGGGAAUAUUGCACAAUGGGGGAAACCCUGAUGCAGCGACGCCGCGUGGAGGAAGAAGGUCUUCGGAUUGUAAACUCCUGUUGUUGAGGAAGAUAAUGACGGUACUCAACAAGGAAGUGACGGCUAACUACGUGCCAGCAGCCGCGGUAAAACGUAGGUCACAAGCGUUGUCCGGAAUUACUGGGUGUAAAGGGAGCGCAGGCGGGAGAACAAGUUGGAAGUGAAAUCCAUGGGCUCAACCCAUGAACUGCUUUCAAAACUGUUUUUCUUGAGUAGUGCAGAGGUAGGCGGAAUUCCCGGUGUAGCGGUGGAAUGCGUAGAUAUCGGGAGGAACACCAGUGGCGAAGGCGGCCUACUGGGCACCAACUGACGCUGAGGCUCGAAAGUGUGGGUAGCAAACAGGAUUAGAUACCCUGGUAGUCCACACCGUAAACGAUGAUUACUAGGUGUUGGAGGAUUGACCCCUUCAGUGCCGCAGUUAACACAAUAAGUAAUCCACCUGGGGAGUACGACCGCAAGGUUGAAACUCAAAGGAAUUGACGGGGGCCCGCACAAGCAGUGGAGUAUGUGGUUUAAUUCGACGCAACGCGAAGAACCUUACCAAGUCUUGACAUCCCUUGACGAUGCUGGAAACAGUAUUUCUCUUCGGAGCAAGGAGACAGGUGGUGCAUGGUUGUCGUCAGCUCGUGUCGUGAGAUGUUGGGUUAAGUCCCGCAACGAGCGCAACCCUUAUGGUCAGUUACUACGCAAGAGGACUCUGGCCAGACUGCCGUUGACAAAACGGAGGAAGGUGGGGAUGACGUCAAAUCAUCAUGCCCUUUAUGACUUGGGCUACACACGUACUACAAUGGCGUUAAACAAAGAGAAGCAAGACCGCGAGGUGGAGCAAAACUCAGAAACAACGUCCCAGUUCGGACUGCAGGCUGCAACUCGCCUGCACGAAGUCGGAAUUGCUAGUAAUCGUGGAUCAGCAUGCCACGGUGAAUACGUUCCCGGGCCUUGUACACACCGCCCG
rnacentral:rRNA from 1 species